AAUAAUUGUAAAUGAGGAUGUUUAGGUAGUAAGAGAUAAGAUCUUGAAACUUAAAGAAUUUGGCGGUGUUUUACCCUAUUCAGAGGAAUCUGUUUUGUAAUUGAUAUUACACGAUUGAAUAAACUUAAAUUUAUAACUUGUAUAUCGCCGUCAUCAGAUUGUCUUGAAUGGAGGGAAUCAAAUUAUUAGAAUAUUUAAUAGAAUAGAAUGUCAGGUCAAGGUGCAGUUAUAUUUAAGAAUAAAAUGGAUUACAAUAAAUUAGAAUUUAUUUGGAUUAUGAAUAUGAUUAUUUGUAAGGAAAUUGGAUUUGAAAGUAAAUUGAUUGAAAUUGUUUGAUUGAAGAAGCUCUAAAGCAUGU
rnacentral:rRNA from 1 species